UUACGGCCGUAUCACCUUGAAACACCGGUUCUCGUAAGAUCACCGAAGUUAAACAACACCGAGCCGGUUCAUUACCUAGAUAGGUGCACGUUUGAGAAUACCAGGUACUGCGUG